UACGUAGGGGGCAAGCGUUGUCCGGAAUCAUUGGGCGUAAAGAGCGCGUAGGCGGUCCGAUAAGUCAGCUGUGAAAGUCGGGGGCUCAACCCUCGAAAGCCGGUUGAUACUGUCGGGCUAGAGUCCGGAAGAGGCAAGUGGAACUCCUGGUGUAGCGGUGAAAUGCGCAGAUAUCAGGAAGAACACCGAUGGCGAAGGCAGCUUGCUGGGACGGUACUGACGCUGAGGCGCGAAAGCGUGGGGAGCAAACAGG
rnacentral:rRNA from 2 species